GUGGGGAAUAUUGGACAAUGGGCGAAAGCCUGAUCCAGCCAUGCCGCGUGUGUGAAGAAGGUCUUCGGAUUGUAAAGCACUUUAAGUUGGGAGGAAGGGCAGUAAGUUAAUACCUUGCUGUUUUGACGUUACCGCCAGAAUAAGCACCGGCUAACUUCGUGCCAGCAGCCGCGGUAAUACGAAGGGUGCAAGCGUUAAUCGGAAUUACUGGGCGUAAAGCGCGCGUAGGUGGUUCAGUAAGUUGGAAGUGAAAUCCCCGGGCUCAACCUAGGAACUGCUUUCAAAACUGCUGAGCUAGAGUACGGUAGAGGGUGGUGGAAUUUCCUGUGUAGCGGUGAAAUGCGUAGAUAUAGGAAGGAACACCAGUGGCGAAGGCGACCACCUGGACUGAUACUGACACUGAGGUGCGAAAGCGUGGGGAGCAAACAGGAUUAGAUACCCGUGUAGUCC
rnacentral:rRNA from 1 species